UUUCCGUAGGUGAACCUGCGGAAGGAUCAUUAAAAAAUGAGACCUGAUUCAAGGUCUAUUAAUAAUCCUACCCUUUGUGAAUUUGUUUUGUUUUAAUAUGUGUCUUUCCCUGGUUUUUGAUGGAGCUUGUUUUAAAGCAAAAUCAAUCCAGGGGAAUGGCAAAAUUUUUUUUAAAUUAAACUUUUUGUAUUCAUUUGUCUAAAAUUAUUUUUAUAAUAUAAAAACAACUUUGACAAUGGAUCUCUUGGUUCUCGCAACGAUGAAGAACGCCAGCAAAAUGCGAUAAGUAGUGUGAAUUGCAGAAUACGUGAAUCAUCGAAUCUUCGAACGCAUAUGCACUUUUUUGGUUUACCAAAAAAGUAUGUCUGUUUGAGUAUCAGUAAAAUAUUCUCAUAAAACUAUUUGUUUUUAUGGUUAUGAGUGUUUUUACAACGAUAAACAAGUUGUUUCACUUUAAAUUCUUUGUCUUUUAAAAAAAUCAUUAAAAACUGAUUUUUUUUUAAAAUUGGAUAAAAUUUUCCCGUAAAAAGGAAUAACCUAAACAAUUUUAAUUAAAAUUGGUUUGAUUUCUUUUAAGACUUUAAAGGAAAAAAAGUAAAAAUUAACUUGAUCUCAAAUCAGAUAAGAGUACCCGCUGAACUUAAGCAUAUCAAUAAGCGGAGGAAAAGAAACUAACUAGGAUUCCCUCAGUAACGGCGAGUGAAGCGGGAAGAGCUCAAUUUGAAAUCUUCAAGGUUCUACCUUGACGAAUUGUAGUUUAAAGAAGUGUUUCUGUUGGAGUUUUGGUAAAAGUUCUUUGGAAUAGGACAUCAUAGAGGGUGAGAAUCCCGUAUUUGACAUUAUUUCCAACUGUGUGAUACACUUUCAAAGAGUCGGAUUGUUUGGGAAUGCAGUCCAAAAUGGGUGGUAAAUUUCAUCUAAAGCUAAAUAUUGGCGAGAGACCGAUAGCGAACAAGUACCGUGAGGGAAAGAUGAAAAGAACUUUGAAAAGAGAGUUAAACAGUACGUGAAAUUGUCAAAAGGGAAGCGUUUGACACCAGUGUUGUUUUCUCGAAAAUCAAUUAAAAAUGAUGGGAUUUUGUGUUGUAUUGACUUCAUCAGCUUUCUGCACUUUUUUCUUAUCUUUUUAAUGCACUUUCGUUUAAACAAGUCAACAUCAAUUUCUUUGUCGUAAAGAGUCAUUGGAAGGUGGCCUUUUCUUCGGAAAAAGCGUU
rnacentral:misc_RNA from 1 species